rnacentral:rRNA from 1 species
CUACGGGUUGCACCAGUAGGGAAUUUUGCGCAAUGGAGGAAACUCUGACGCAGCAACGCCAUGUGUGGGAUGACGCUUUUCGGAGUGUAAACCACUGUCGGCAGGGAAUAAACUAUGAUUUUAUCAUACUGAAGGUACCUGCAGUAGGAAGCACCGGCUAACUUCGUGCCAGCAGCCGCGGUAAUACGAGGGGUGCAAGUGUUGUUCGGAAUCACUGGGCGUAAAGGGAGCGUAGGCGGGAAAGCAAGUCAGGUGUUUAAUACUGGGGCCCAACUCCAGUGCCGCACUUGAAACUGCUUUUCUGGAAUAUGUCAGAGGUUGAUGGAAUUCUUGGUGGAGCGGUGGAAUGCGUAGAUAUCAAGAGGAACACCAGUGGCGAAAGCGGUCAACUGGGACAAUAUUGACGCUGAGGCUCGAAAGCGUGGGGAGCGAACAGGAUUAGAUACCCCAGUAGUC